CUCACACUUGCUCCCAAAUCACAUAGACACUUCUGAAAAGUCAAUUGCCCAAUGGCACAAGGUAGUGUGAAACUGCCUGGAUCUUCAAGCUUCUUAGGGAUGGUUAACCGUUGUAUAAUGACACUGCAUUCAUGGGUGAGAACUACCAUCCCUUCCAUCUCUUUCUUCUUCUUGGUGACAGCAUCCUUGAGGAACUUGCUGUAUUGAGGCACUAGCAUGAAGGCGUCAAUAAUGGGCAUG
rnacentral:lncRNA from 1 species